AUGAGGCUAAAAAGGCACAGGACAAUCAUGAAUUUAUGCCUAAAGGCAAACCCAGCAGCCCUCUUCCACAGAGCAAGUGAUAACCCUUAUCUGCUUCAUUCUCCAAAGAACUGCCAGGUCCAAGAGCUAUUUGAAACCAGUGAAAGGGAUUUUGCUGACAAAAACUUCAGUGUCUGUGGAGGCUGUGGUGACCCAUACUGUGCCCACAAAUGUCAGUUGCAGAGAGUUUCUUCUCCAAGCAGCUACAGAAGGGGUAAGAGUUUAUGGACGGUUCUUGCUAAGUGCUGCUUUUCCAUUUCAGUUGGAAUAAGGCUGAUGGAUGGAGAUGAUAAAGUGGAGAGAAUGCUCCGAGGCUCUCGUUGAGUUUGCUGUCCAGAAAAAAAAGAAUUGACUGAAUGUUAUCUCACCAGCACCAAGUGGGAAGUAGCACAUGAGAGAAAAACAUGGACUGGAAUCAUAUAGUCUGUGCUUGGUUUUGGAUAUUAAAUGAUGGGGAGAUGGCAGAGGGAGAAAAAUGUAAAGCAGAGGAGUUUUAUAUUAAUUUUGACAAAAACAGAUAAAAUGUAGGCUACUUGGUCUGAAGCAUUUACCAUUAAUGUGGAUGAUGGAAGGCCUUAAGUACACAUACAAGUUCUUGUGAUGUAUGUGAGUUCUACUGUUCUGUUUCCUAACUAACAUGCUAAUUGUUAUCUGUUAUUAAUUUAUUUAUUUUUUUGGCUUAGGAAUGAUCUCAGAACAAUUGGUUGAAGUGUUCCAUUAUAUGGAACAGUGAUUCCAAAUGAGAUGUGGCUGUUCCUUUGGGAUGACUGCCCUUCAUAUUUCUCUUCCUUGGGACAGCCAAGGAAGCUAAGAAAGGCUGUCUCCACAUAGCUACACAAGUGAAACAAAUUACAAUAUUCUUCCACUCUGCCUGACAAGAUGUUUUUUGUAUUUCCUGCUCCCUCUGAAGAGCAGGAAAUACAAAUUUCCUUUUCAAGGAAGAGAAAUAAUUUAACAGAAAGAAAUAGUGAGAUAAUAGAAUUACUAGAAGAAGGAUGGAUUCAAUAAUGUUUUGAUUUAAAUCAGAAAACAAAUUCCCAGUGUAUUUUCCAGUACUCAGUUUUAAGCCCAGCUAUUAUUUUUCUGGCAGAAUAGCAGUGUCUUGUAAAAAUGUUGAUUUUACAGACAUGUGUUUUAUGCCAGUCCCUCAGUAUUUGAAAGGAGAGUGGGCAGGUGAGCUGGCAUGGAACAAGGAUGUUGAGGUGCUUUGCUGGGGGCUCUGUGGUUACCCAGAGCUCAUUCCCUGAGCAGCAGCUGCCCUGUUCGAGGGCACAGCAGGGACAUCCAUCAAGGGGUAAGGCUAAAGCGAAGCAGAGGCAGCACAAAAAAUAACCAAUUUCUUCAAUGACAAAUACCUUCAGUGGCCAUGAUGAACUUUGCUUAUUUUGGUAGUGUGCUUUUCUGAUGCCAUUAAACUUUUUGUGUCUAAGACCACAAUAUAUUUAAGGGAACUGUUGUUACUAGAAAAGGCAUCACACAAAUGUAUGACUGGUACCACUGAAAUCAAUACACUGAGUCAUAAUCUUACAACAGCCAUAUAGAUAUUUGUGCUUCCUUCAUUAGGUUCAGGGAGUUCAAAUUAAAUAACAGGUGUAAGUAUACAGGGAAAAAAAAGAUCCUAAGCCUCAUCAUCAUAUAGGAUGUAUAGGAAUGAAAUACCAUAUUUAUGCUGCUCUUUUUCAUUGCUUUAUUUAAUUCAAAAUAAAUUCACAUGGUUUGCAGUGAAUAGUUUUAAA
ensembl:lncRNA